ACUCAAAACUCAAAGGACUUGACGGUGUUCCAAACCAACCUAGAGGAGCCUGUCCUAUAAUCGAUAAUCCACGCUACACCUCACCCCCUCUCGAAGUCAGUCUGUAUACCGCCGUCUUUCAGUUCGCCUUAUGACAGACCCAUAGCGAACACAACAGCCCAUCACUCAAACGUCAGGUCAAGGUGCAACUAAUGAGGGGGCAGCGAUGGGCUACAUUUUCUAUAACAGAACACCACUAUCCACCACAUGAAACAUAGGCCACAAGGCGGAUUUAGCAGUAAGCCAAACA
rnacentral:rRNA from 1 species